ACUCCUGCGGGAGGCAGCAGUGGGGAAUUUUGGACAAUGGGCGAAAGCCUGAUCCAGCCAUGCCGCGUGCAGGAUGAAGGCCUUCGGGUUGUAAACUGCUUUUGUACGGAACGAAACGGCCUUUUCUAAUAAAGAGGGCUAAUGACGGUACCGUAAGAAUAAGCACCGGCUAACUACGUGCCAGCAGCCGCGGUAAUUCGUAGGGUGCAAGCGUUAAUCGGAAUUACUGGGCGUAAAGCGUGCGCAGGCGGUUAUGUAAGACAGUUGUGAAAUCCCCGGGCUCAACCUGGGAACUGCAUCUGUGACUGCAUAGCUAGAGUACGGUAGAGGGGGAUGGAAUUCCGCGUGUAGCAGUGAAAUGCGUAGAUAUGCGGAGGAACACCGAUGGCGAAGGCAAUCCCCUGGACCUGUACUGACGCUCAUGCACGAAAGCGUGGGGAGCAAACAGGAUUAGAAACCCCUGUAGUCC
rnacentral:rRNA from 1 species